rnacentral:rRNA from 1 species
UAUAUUGGGCAAUGGGGGAAACCCUGACCCAGCGACGCCGCGUGAAGGAUGAAGGCCUUAGGGUUGUCAACUUUGUUGGAUGGGGACGAAAUAAAUGACGGUACCCAUCUAACAAGACACGGCCAACUACGUGCCAGCAGCCGCGGUAAUACGGAGGUGGCAAGCGUUAUCCGGAAUUACUGGGUGUAAAGGGCGUGUAGGCGGAUAAACAGGUCGGAUGUGAAAUCUUGCGGCUUAACGGCAAGCUGUCAUAAGAAACUGUAUAUCUUGAGUGUCAGAGGGGAAAGUGGAAUUCCUAGUGGAGCGGUAAAAUGCGUAGAUAUUAGGAGGAACACCGGUGGCGAAGGCGACUUUCUGGCUGACAACUGACGCUGAGGCGCGAAAGCGUGGGGAGCAAACAGG